UUUGGAUAUGACAGGAACAUCCUGGUUUUGGGGGGCCACACCAAGAAAAUAAAUCACCUGCCUCCCAAAAUAUCUAGUUUUGCUUUAUAGAACUUAACUAACUAAGUGGGGUGGUUUUUCUUUGGUGAUAUUUACAGGAUAUUCAAUUAUCUUGUGCUCUGCUCACAUUCCUUUAUUUAUUCGAUAGGAGCGAUGUCUGACUGAAGCCAAGAGCGCAGUAGCAUUACACUGGAAAUCAUGGGAAGAGGGUAGGAGGCCAACCUAGGUUUCUCCGGCCAUCACUGCAGCUGCUUGGGAGCUGGCAGAAGAGUGGGCUUGACCCAGCAUUGAACCAGGAAAGGCCCAAUCCAAAUGGAGGAACCAAAGCACAAGACCCUGCAACCCUGCCUCAAGAAGCAAGGUGUCAUCCAUGGCACAAGCGCUCAAAAUUCCAGUGGCAAACAGGAGCGAGAGUGGAUAUCCAAGCUCUCAGGAAGCAGCCAUUAUCACCAAGUUUUAUUGUGACCCGGAUCAGUUGGCAGGAAGCGCAUCUGUCAGCCCUCAAUCACAUCUGCAGGACGGGACAGUCAUUUGGCUGAGCUCAGGUUAAUCAUCACCUGGUUCCCACUGCACUAUGGCUCUGUGCAGUGGGAGAGAACCAUUGGCUUUAUUACUAGUUGCGAGAUGUAGGCCUCUAAGAUCCACCACUGCACCAUAGGAGCAGGCAGUCAAAUGAUGCCAGAGUGGCAAGGUUCUUUUCCUGGGUGAAAUUAACAGGUGCAUGGGAAUAAAAUAGUUGACCCUAUAUGAGAUGAGUUCAGUGGUAAAAACAUCCUGGGAUUCUGGCCAAGGCAGCAAGGCCAGAGGGAACAGUCAGAGUAAUGGAAUGGGGAUUCCUGCAAAAUACUGCUAUGGACUUCCAACUGUAUUCUUCAAUUUAGCUAGCUAAUGUUUUCUUCAGCACUGGCUUUUAAUUAAUGAUAAUAUCAUUAAUCACAUAAUUAGGGGCUCAACCCAUCCUUAUGAGACUUGGGUAACUAAUAAGGACUGGUAACGCUUCAGUUUAUUUUGCUGCAUUUUAUUGUCUAAUUUAAUGUGGUUGAAAAGAAGCAAGCAUGCUGGGAGCAGAAUCUCCAAAACAGAACAUUGUGCUGACAAUAUGCAACAUCUUGCUAUUUCUGGAGAGCUGAAGAAUAGAAUUAUUUUAUUUGCACUUGUUUUUAUUUACAUUGUUUUUCCACUGUCAGAACCUGGAGAAGAACUUGCUUGGAUCUGGUCAUGUCCAUUUGACUCAUUUUGUGCUCACAAACACAGUGGGAAAGGGUGAUUUCUUAAAGCCAAAGACUGUUUUAUCACAAUAGGUCAGGUAAAUGUCCUUUAAAUAGAACAUAGGGAGUUCUUUCUUAAGAGAAUAACUCCUGCAAGGGGCUGAAAUCUUGCUAUUGGGCUGCUUCAAAUCCUGUUGAUGCCAUAAUGCAUGGCAAAGAGCACAUUACAUUAAGAAUACAUGUGACUGACUGAAUCAUG